rnacentral:rRNA from 1 species
UACGGAGGGUGCAAACGUUGCUCGGAAUCAUUGGGCGUAAAGCGCACGUAGGUGGCUCGUUAAGUCGGGUGUGAAAUCCCUGGGCUCAACCCAGGAAGUGCACUCGAAACUGGCGAGCUUGAGUACUGAAGAGGGUCGCGGAAUUCCCGGUGUAGAGGUGAAAUUCGUAGAUAUCGGGAGGAACACCAGCGGCGAAGGCGGCGACCUGGGCAGAUACUGACACUGAGGUGCGAAAGCGUGGGGAGCAAACAGG